UUGAAACAUCAAUUCUCAUUUGAUCACAAAAGUUAAGCAAUGUCAAGCCUGAUCAGUACCUAGAUGGGUGACCAUUUGGGAAUAUCAGGUGCU